GAAGACACAAGGUGGGAGAAUCACAAAGCAAGAAGACCGAAAACAUCCAUAGGAGAAUACUGACAUGGAAAAUAUUCACGUUAUUUUAUUACAUUAAUAUGUAAGUAUAAUUAUUAGGAACAAAGACUAGAAAGGGUUGACAAUGAUUGUGUCUGACUAAUAGAAUUUUUUUUUCUGUGAACUUUUCUGUUUUUCCCAGACUUUUAGGAGUGAUUAUUUGCUUUUGUAACAAGAAAAACAAAAACUAAAAACAAGAACAACCUAUUGGCUUCUUCGAAAGUCUCUUGGGGAGUUUAAAUCUAAUUGCCUUUUUCCUUCUGCCUCCUACCAGCCUCUUCCUGAAAGGCCAUCCUCCAAAAUGAGAGGCUCUGCCCCUGAUGAAUAAAGCCAGACACUGGUAAUAACCCCAGGGGGUCAUCUGGGAGUCCAGCCAUGCAGAGGAUAUGGUACCAAUGGACUUCUAAUUGUUAACUAACGGUAAGAAUAAUGUUUACUCACUCAUAAAUUUUUUUGUAUUAUUUUUCUUUGAAAAAUAUUUACUUAUUUUAAAGGAAACUCCAGCCAUUGUCAGUUAUACAUCUUUAAGAAAUACAGACAUUUUCUUACAUAACAAUACUGCUUUUAUCACACUGAACAAGAAUAUCAUUCUUUGGUUUUAUCUAAUGCUCAAUACAUAAUCAAAUUCACCUAUGUAAAAAUAGUUUUUUUCUUUUUUAGCUGCCCUAUGGCAAUGCUGGAUCCUUAACCCACUGUGCCAGGCCAGGGAUCAAACCUGUGUCCCGGCACUUCCAAGAUGUCACUGAUCCCGUUGUACCACAGAACUAUAAAAAUGUUUUUGAAUGUUUGAUUUGUUGGAAUUAGGAUCCAAAGUUCACACAUUACAUUUGAUUUUGUUAUCUCUAAAGUUCCUUUUAAUCUAGAGCAGUCCCUCCCUUCCCCUCCUUUUUUCUUCUCCCUGCCACUGAGUUGACUAAAGUAUAUUUUACAGUGGUCUCUAAGAGAAAAUCCUCUAAAUGCCAGCAAUGACUAAUUGGUGGGGAUUUCAGAACAAAUAGGACAAUAAGAAUAGAGACAAAAAAUAUUUGCCUCAGGAAGGUACCCAGCAAAGCCAUGGUGCUUAAACAUAAAAAGGCCCUGAAAUUAAGAGAAGCCAUAAAAAUUAGUACCUUGGAUGUUAACCACAGUUGAGUUUUCACUGAACAUUGGCUCUAGGAUCUCAGGAUCAUUACCUUUAAUUAUAAAGUACAAUCACUGUAUAACAAAUGGAGGACUCUUUUUGUAGUGUUGGACUAAUUCCUGUGAUAUCUAUAAAAUUGGCUACUACAAGAAUAUUUGUGUACAUUAUCUACUUCUGUUUUUCACCUAAAAAACAAACAAAAAACACAACUCCAUAAAAAAGGUAUGAGAAACAAUCCCAAGGUUAGAAUAAGAUGGCACAGACUCAUUUACAAAAAAAGACUACACGUUUCUCAUUAAUUUAUCAUUUAAUAUAAAUGCUGACAGAAAGUAAAGACCUUAUAGACACUUUUAUAUAUUUACAAACCAAAAGGCGAAUCAUCUCCUUCUACUUAUUAAAAUAAUCCUUUUAUCUGCAACUCAUGGGAGCCUUAAACACUAAUUUGGAGCAACAUGAGGCUGAGUCAGUUUCCAAGCUAAUAAACACCAUUUUAACAAAAUGUGGCAUCUUAGAUACAACCAACUUGCACACAGAUAAUAAUACAAAACUGAAAAAGAUGGCCCUCAUCCUCUCAAAGCCCUGUAAGAAUUAGAAUAUGUACUUACUCAGAGUUUUGCUGUCCUAAAUAUCUUCCUAUUAUUUUUUUUUCCACCUCACUUUUUUGAAGGCUGUUUAAAAAUUGGAAAUAUAAAUAGAUUUUUAAAAAGAGAAGAAAAUGGUCUAUUUCAAACAUGGUUCUUUUUUCCUAUUUCAAAAUAACUUUCAGGAGAUAGUCUUCAAAGAAGAUUUCAGAGUUUGCUAGGUGCUAGGGAAUUAUUCGCAGCUUGUGAAAUUCCAACUCAUUAUGGUCACUUUUUAAAGAAAAGUUGCAAACACUUGGAAAAAGUACAAUUUCACAAACUUUAGCAAUACAAAAAUCAGCUGACCCUUUAAGGCUCCAUAUUUUAACUUCUGAACCGGUGGGUGGAGGCAGGCAAUAAAGAACAAGGACCAAAGGAAUGUGAGAAAACUUAAAAAAAAAAAAAAAAAAAA